rnacentral:rRNA from 1 species
AGCUCCAAUAGUGUAUAUUAAAGUUGUUGCGGUUAAAAAGCUCGUAGUUGGAUCUACAAUCAAGGCUUGCGGUCGUUCGUUCUGAACGUACUGCACAGUCUGAUUGAUAUAUUCGGUUUGCGAUUGAUGCUCUUCAUUGAGUGUUUUUCGUUGCCGGAACGUUUACCUUGAAAAAAUUGAAGUGCUCAAAGCAGGCUCACGCCUGAACAUUGCUGCAUGGGAUAAUAGAAUAGGACUUCGGUUCUAUUUUGUUGGUUUUCGGAACACGGAGUAAUGAUUAAUAGGGACAGACGGGGGCAUUGGUACUGCUGCGUUAGAGGUGAAAUUCUUGGAUCGUAGCAAGACCAACUACUGCGAAAGCAUUUGCCAAGAAUGUUUUCAUUAAUCAAGAACGAAAGUA